GGAAUUUUGGACAAUGGGGGAAACCCUGAUCCAGCCAUGCCGCGUGCGGGAAGAAGGCCUUCGGGUUGUAAACCGCUUUUGGCAGGAACGAAACGGCGCGGGCUAAUACCUCGCGUUACUGACGGUACCUGCAGCAUCAGCACCGGCUAACUACGUGCCAGCAGCCGCGGUAAUACGUAGGGUGCAAGCGUUAAUCGGAAUUACUGGUCGUAAAGCGUACGCAGGCGGCUUUGCAAGACAGGUGUGAAAUCCCCGGGCCUAACCUGGGAACUGCAUUUGUGACUGCAUGGCUAGAGUCUGUCAGAGGGGGGUGGAAUUCCACGUGUAGCAGUGAAAUGCGUAGAGAUGUGGAAGAACACCGAUGGCGAAGGCAGCCCCCUGGGAUAAGACUGACGCUCAUGUACGAAAGCGUGGGGAGCAA
rnacentral:rRNA from 1 species